CUUCUUACCUGGAGGCUCAUAAACCUGAGAUGCCCAACUGCCCAGGGGGCAGCAAUAUAACUCAUUGGGACCCUUUGUGUGUCCCCUGGUGAAAGGGUGUCCUUUUGGGGAGUGAGGGUCUCUAGCCGCGUGGAGCCCCACGGUGGGGGAACGGGAAGUGCAAAGUCCUGGUGGAUCGCUGGGGGUCCCCUGCUUCUGUCCCUUGGCUCCUGGACCCCUGCAUUUGUUUACCUGCUGGAGACACAGAGGCACAUAAAGGCGGAUACCGUGUAUAUGCUGCAUCCUGCAGGACGUCCCCAUCCUUCCAGAGGCCUGGCCCCGAGCUGGAGCUACAGAGGCGCCCUUAGCAGACAGUUCCAACACUGUCGGGCCAGCAGCUUCUAGUGGAUCCUAACCAACUGUCCAGGCCGCUCAUCACCACUCCUGAGUCCAUCUGUGUUCCAACCUCUGGCUGCUUCUCUUCCCACGCAAAGUGGCAUGGCCUUGCUCUAGAAGUCCAGGGCCCUGUGUUGUGAAUGUCCAGCUCAGCAAGCGGCAAACUCCAAUGACAUCUUUUCCUGCCACCGAUACCUCCACCCCGGUGAGGCUGCUGGAUCCUAUGGGCCAGGAGGCUGCCCGGCUGGGAGGAUCCUUUAGGUUUCUGCACAGGCCAGUUGAAGAAUUAACCAGAGACUUGAUGCGGACCAACACCUGCAUCCUCCAUCUCCUUAAAGAUGCUCACUUCUCUGACAGCGUGGGCACCUCCUGGCCGUCCGUCAACACUGGUCUCUCAUCUGAGACCUUCCCACUGGCCACCCUGCAGAGAUGGUGUGAUUGCUGCUUACAAUGUGCCUAGCAUGGACCUUGGCAUACAACAGGCACUCAACAAAUGUUUAUUGACUGGAUGCCGAAAUCAGCAGACCUAAUGAAACUGCAGCCUGUCCUUCUCCAGGCUCCGGAAUAUUUAAGUGAAGGGGAAACAAAGAGGCUGGGUGACGUCUGAGGGCUUGGGUAAGGGAUCUUGGUCUCGUUAAUGACUUCAGUUCCAGGGCCCACCCCAGAGUGAGGGGUCACUGAAAUAUUU